rnacentral:rRNA from 1 species
CCUACGGGAGGCUGCAGUGAGGAAUAUUGGUCAAUGGGCGCGAGCCUGAACCAGCCAAGUCGCGUGAGGGAGGACGGCCCUACGGGUUGUAAACCUCUUUUGCCGGGGAGCAACGGGCGCCACGUGUGGCGUCACUGAGAGUACCCGGAGAAAAAGCAUCGGCUAACUCCGUGCCAGCAGCCGCGGUAAUACGGAGGAUGCGAGCGUUAUCCGGAUUUAUUGGGUUUAAAGGGUGCGUAGGCGGAUCGUUAAGUCAGUGGUCAAAUUGAGGGGCUCAACCCCUUCCCGCCAUUGAAACUGUUUUUCUUGAGUACCGGAGAGGUCAUCGGAAUUCCUUGUGUAGCGGUGAAAUGCGUAGAUAUAAGGAAGAACACCAGUGGCGAAGGCGGAUGACUGGACGGCAACUGACGGUGAGGCGCGAAAGCGUGGGGAGCAAACAGGAUUAGAUACCCCGGUAGUC